AAAAAUAUAAAAUUAUCUAUUAUUUUGAAAUGGAGGGAUUAUUAUUAUUAUCUCUCUGUUUUUUUCUCUCUUGAAAAUCCUAAAUGUCAUCAAAAAACCUAAAUUCAAGAUCAUCUGAUUCCUCAUCUCCAAAUUCUGAGAGAAAAUAUUGUGAAAUUAAGCAAACAGUAUCCAAAGAAGAAGAACAAAUAGAGCACCUCCAAUCUCAUUCUUACUCUCAUAAACUAUAAUCACUUCCGUUGAUCGAAACCCCCAAACCCAGCAGAACACAUGCUCAAAUCUUUAGGGUUGAGAUAUUCAAUCAUGGAGGCAUCUAUUUGGGGGAAAUUGAAGGGUUUGAUGGUUGGGGAGGAGUGAGUAAGCAAAAGUCUGCGAUUUGGGCUUUCUUCAUCAUCGAAAAUUGAGAUCUUUCAUUGCAGAUCUGCCCCUUUUCCUUGUUGGAUUCUUAAUUGACUUGAUAGCCACCAAUUUUCUUAUCCUCUCUCAUUCGAGCAAACAUGUUUUCCCUUUCGACUUUAAGAUCUUGUAAUAGGGAAUUUGCAGCCUUCGUUGUCGUUGCCGUCAGAAGUGGUGGUGGUUGUGUAGAACUUGGUUGUUGGGAUAUAGAAGUUAAAAUCUAAGAGCACUAACAAAAUGGAAAGAAUUGAUGGGAUGAAGUGGUGUUAGAAGAAAUUAGUAGAAAUAAAAUGGAAGCUGGUGUUGUUGCUGCCGAUUUUGUUGUUGUUGUUGAUGAUGAUGAUGAUUUGGGGCUAAGAUGUGAAAACUUGAAACUGAGUUGUUCAAACUGAGCUGGAGGAAUUUCGGAAUAAGAUGAUUUUAAAUUGUUAAGUUAUUUCAGAUCAAAUUGGGAGAUUUUUCAGAUCUAGUUUGGGAGAUCUGACUCUCUUCAUAUCAAUGAUCUAAUGUUUUGGGAUUUAAAAAAUAAUAAUUGCUAUUUGAAGUGUUUUAAUAUUUCUUUCUUUUAUAUUUAAGUCUAAAUUUAAUAAUUUCAUAAUA
rnacentral:lncRNA from 1 species